rnacentral:lncRNA from 1 species
AUAGAUAUAAAUACAGGAAUAAACUGAUACUAUUAUAAUUCUAUAUUUCGAAAAGUAUCAGGUUUGUAUCUGAUAUAAGAAAAAGAGUAUUUAGUACCUUAUUUGGCUCGGAGAUAAGAGGUGGAAUUACCACUUAUCCCUCAUUUAUAUCCAAACGUUAUUUUUUAUAUCCCAAAAUAAUAAUUCUUAAGUAUCUGAAAUAUGUUGGUAUAAUCCGGAAUAAAUCUGGAUUUGUUAUUCCACCCUUAUUCCUAGAACAAAUAAAAACAAGAUUAAGUAAACUCUAAUUAAUAAUUUUAAAUUAUUUAUUAAUCUAAUAUAUAUAUAUUUAAAUUAUUAAUUAAUCUAUUUCAACCCCUUUUUAUUUUUAAAAUUUAAAAUUUUAAAAUUAAAUUUUAAAUUUUAAAUUUCUAUAAAUCUGGAAUUGUUAUAGUCUCCCAUCGAACAAGUAAAUAUAAAUUAUAAUUACUUAUUUUACAGAUAGAUAUAAAUACAGGAACAAAUUGAUACUAUUAUAAUUCUGUGUUUCGAGUAUCAGGUUUAUACCUAAUCUAUUACUAUAUAUAAAAAUAGAACCCUUAAUGAACCCUAUGUGAGAAGCUGACACAUAGCUUUCUAUAUGCUUACCACGUGUCAAACUCAAAUAUGGAUAUUUGGUUACGAAUUAUUUAAAAUUAUUGAUUUAACGCGAAUUAUUUGAAAUAGUUAGUUGCGAAAAAAAUGGUCAAACUCAAAUUUCGUAUUGGCAGAUAAUUAAUUAUUUAACUCUAUGUGAGAAGCUGACACGUGGCUUUUUAUAUACUUGCCACGUGUCAAACUCAAAUAUGGAUAUUUAGUUACGAAUUAUUUGAAAUUAUUGGUUAAAUUAAUUAUUUAAAAUUAUUGGUUGCGAAAUACGCAAUAAUCUGUUGUGAAUUAUUUUUUCGCAGUGGAAAUAAUCUGUUGCAAACUCAAAUUUCGUAUUGGCAGUAAUUUUGUUUUCUCUACUAUCACUCCUGUAAUUUUCUUAGUUCUUAAAUGUUGAUGCUUUAAAAUAUAACAUAUAUUUUUUACUUUAUUAUUUAAAUUUGAUGUAUUAAUUUUUUUAUUGAAUGUCUUAUUUUUCUGAGGAUAUGGCACUUGGGUAUGAUUCAAUACGUGACAUCACUCCUCUUGGAGACAAAUGGAAGAUCAAAGUUAGAGUGAUUUGUCUGUAUACUACGCCUAAAUUUCAUCGCCCAGAGAUGGUGAAUAGUUUAGAGUUAGUUCUUUCUGAUCAAAAUGUAAGAUACGAUUUUAUUUUCAAAUUUAACAUACAUUUGCUUUAUUUUUUUUUAAUUCUUUCUGAUCAAAAUGUAAGAUAUGAUUUCAUUUUCAAAUUUAACAUACAUUUGUUUUAUUUGUUUUUUAAAAAAUACUACAUAAUUUGUUUAUUUUCUAUUUUAGGGAGAUAGAAUACAUGCAACGAUAAGAAAAGUUUUCUGAGUAAAUUUAAAGGCCUUUUUACUGAAGGAAAAGUUUAUGUGAUCAACCAGUUUGGAGUGGGGCAGAGCAGCGGCUCCUACAGUACCACAAAUUAUCCUUACAAAAUCAAUUUUCAAUAUUCUACGAUUGUACUUGAGAUAGAAAAUGUUUUGACCGUAUCAAAGUAUGGAUUUAUAUUUACCUCUUUUGAUGAAAUACUUGGUAAUGUCGCUGAUGACAAAUAUUUGGUGGGUAAGAGUUAUUACAUGCAUCAAAUAUUUAAUUUUUAAAAUUUAAUUUUUAAUAUAUGUAUCUAUUAUUGUAAGGACUGAGAUUUUUACAGUGCAACUAAACUCUGUGUUGAUAAUGUUUAUGUGUGUAAUUUAAUUACAUAAACACUCGUCAAGUUUCAGAAGAAAAUGAGCUAGAAUGGAGAAGUUACGCGAUUAUUAGUUUUGACUUAAGUGAAUAGUAACUCCGGUUUUCCGAAGAAGUUAAAUAGAGAAGACGGUUUCUGGCCCGUAUCGGACUCCGUUCAUAGCGAUCCAAUAGCUCGUUUCGAUCGGUUCAGCUAUUCUGGAACCAAUGGCACUGACGGAUUUCAGAUCUGAUACACGAUUUUCGAGAAAAAUGGAUUUUAUCGAAAAGAGAGUUUUCGCUCUUUGCUGUUCUUGCAUAAUGAGACUCCUCGCGCUCUGUGUUUGUGACCUAGAGUAAGGUGAGGGAUGUUACAUAUACCUACUAGUAGUAGGAGAUUCAAAUUUGAAUUUGAAUCUAGGAUUUAGCGAGAUUACACAUUGGUAUAUGUGUGUGGUUUUUAGAAUUUGGAGAGCGGACGGGUUUCGUCGCGAAUCCGUGACCGAUCGAUGUGAACCAAAAUCGUACGUUUAUUGUCCCCGUCAUGCUGAACGCGAUGGCGCAAUCCGUUCGGAAUUCUGAUGAACGGAUUGCCGGAUAUCGCAUGAUGUUCGAAUAGGGGUCUAAAGUGACUAAUUGGAAUU